UGGGGAAUAUUGCACAAUGGGCGCAAGCCUGAUGCAGCCAUGCCGCGUGUAUGAAGAAGGCCUUCGGGUUGUAAAGUACUUUCAGCGGGGAGGAAGGGAGUAAAGUUAAUACCUUUGCUCAUUUACGUUACCCGCAGAAGAAGCACCGGCUAACUCCGUGCCAGCAGCCGCGGUAAUACGGAGGGUGCAAGCGUUAAUCGGAAUUACUGGGCGUAAAGCGCACGCAGGCGGUUUGUUAAGUCAGAUGUGAAAUCCCCGGGCUCAACCUGGGAACUGCAUCUGAUACUGGCAAGCUUGAGUCUCGUAGAGGGGGGUAGAAUUCCAGGUGUAGCGGUGAAAUGCGUAGAGAUCUGGAGGAAUACCGGUGGCGAAGGCGGUCCCCUGGACGAAGACUGACGCUCAGGUGCGAAAGCGUGGGGAGCAAACAGG
rnacentral:rRNA from 1 species